rnacentral:tRNA from 1 species
AUUAAGAUGGCAGAAAGUGCCCAAGAUUUAAGCUCUUGUAAUGAAAUAAUUAUAAUUUCUCUUAAUA